rnacentral:rRNA from 1 species
CGCUAUCACUCCUACGCNAGGCAGCAGUGGGGAAUAUUGCACAAUGGGGGAAACCUGAUGCAGCCAUGCCGCGUGUGUGAAGAAGGCCUUCGGGUUGUAAAGCACUUUCAGUAGGGAGGAAGGUAGUGUAGUUAACACCUGCACUAUUUGACGUUACCUACAGAAGAAGCACCGGCUAACUCCGUGCCAGCAGCCGCGGUAAUACGGAGGGUGCGAGCGUUAAUCGGAAUUACUGGGCGUAAAGCGCAUGCAGGCGGCCUGUUAAGUCAGAUGUGAAAGCCCGGGGCUUAACCUCGGAAUUGCAUUUGAAACUGGCAGGCUAGAGUCUUGUAGAGGGGGUAGAAUUUCAGGUGUAGCGGUGAAAUGCGUAGAGAUCUGAAGGAAUACCAGUGGCGAAGGCGGCCCCUGGACAAAGACUGACGCUCAGAUGCGAAAGCGUGGGGAGCAAACAGGAUUAGAUACCCUGGUAG